CUCCAAGUCCACGUCUCCAACCUUCCCCUUUGCGCUUUUGCCCUUUCCCUUUUCUUCUUUCCCCAAAUCGUUUUAGGUUUGUUAACUUUUAGCCUUCUCGCAUCAGAUCAGCUGAUGACAUGAAAUCACUGAUUGACUCGUUGAAUUCCAGUGUUCCAACAUAUUCUUUACAAAGGAAAAUGAUAUCCGUCUUGGUAUGUAAGCCAAAAGAAAUACUAUUCGGAAGGAUUUUCUUCUUCAUCAAAAUUUUAAAUCUUCUCUGACUUUGGACUUGCAAAGGUGCUUAACCCAGAAGACCCUGCUUCUUUGGUACUCGGCACUCGGCACUCCUAAUUACAUGUGUCCCGAGCUCCUAGCAGACAUAUGGUCACUUGGACGCUGUAUGUUUGAAAUGGCAGCACAUUAACCAGUAUAUAGAGCUCCUGUGAUUACGAGCCUGAUCUUCUAUUACAAAUGUAGCAUAAAUAUAAUUUGUUU